rnacentral:tRNA from 1 species
GCUGGGGUAGCGGAGUGGUCCAACGCGGCAGACUGCAGAUCUGCAAUUCUUGGGUUCGAAUCCCAACCCCAGCU